rnacentral:rRNA from 1 species
GAUGAACGCUAGCUACAGGCUUAACACAUGCAAGUCGCGGGGCAGCAUGAAGUCAGCUUGCUGACUUUGAUGGCGACCGGCGCACGGGUGAGUAACGCGUAUCCAACCUGCCUGUUACCACGGCACAGCCCGUCGAAAGGCGGAUUAAUGCCGUAUGUGGUCCUUUGCGGGCAUCUAAUUAGGACUAAAGGUUCAGCGGUAACGGAUGGGGAUGCGUCCGAUUAGCUAGACGGCGGGGUAACGGCCCACCGUGGCUACGAUCGGUAGGGGUUCUGAGAGGAAGGUCCCCCACACUGGAACUGAGACACGGUCCAGACUCCUACGGGAGGCAGCAGUGAGGAAUAUUGGUCAAUGGGCGUAAGCCUGAACCAGCCAAGUAGCGUGAGGGAAGACUGCCCUAUGGGUUGUAAACCUCUUUUGUGCGGGGAUAAAGUGUGGGACGUGUCCCAUAUUGCAGGUACCGCACGAAUAAGGACCGGCUAAUUCCGUGCCAGCAGCCGCGGUAAUACGGAAGGUCCGGGCGUUAUCCGGAUUUAUUGGGUUUAAAGGGAGCGCAGGCCGUCCUUUAAGCGUGCUGUGAAAUGCCGCGGCUCAACCGUGGCACUGCAGCGCGAACUGGAGGACUUGAGUACGCACGAGGUAGGCGGAAUUCGUGGUGUAGCGGUGAAAUGCUUAGAUAUCACGAAGAACUCCGAUUGCGAAGGCAGCUUACCGGAGCGCAACUGACGCUGAGGCUCGAAAGCGCGGGUAUCGAACAGGAUUAGAUACCCUGGUAGCCCGCGCGGUAAA